AUGUGAUGUACCUAGUAGUAUUAGUAAUUAAUACGAGAUUAACAAAGUUAAUUAAAAUUCGAAGUAGAUAUUGAUUAUGACAGUAUUUGCUAAUGUCUUGACCAAGUCACGUGCCAGCAGUCGCGGUAAUACGUGGAAGAUUAGUGUUAUUCAUCUUUAAUUGGUUUAAAGGGUACCUAGACGGUUAAUCAAACACAAAUAUGUAUUAAUUAACUAGAGUUUAAUAUAAGAAAGAUUGAGUACGGUGAGUGUAGAGAUAAAAUUUUGUGAUACCACCUAGGAACUGGUAAAGGCGAAGGCAACUUUCUAUGUAAAAACUGACGUUGAGGGACGAAGGCUUGUAUUAAAUAACAGGAUUAGAUACCCUAGUAUUGUGAGCAGACAAUGAUGAGUGUCAUAUGCAAUAAAUUUUUUGUGUAUAAAUGAAAGUGUAAGCAUUCCACCUCAAGAGUAACGUGGCAACACGGGAAUUGAAAUCAUUAGACCGCUUYUGAAACUCGUAGUGAAGUAUGUUGUUUAAUUUGAUGAUCCGCAAAAAACCUUACCACAAUUUGAAUUACUACAAAACUGCAUUUUUUUUUUGCAUGUUGUAGCAACAAGCGUUGCACGGCUGUCUUCAGUCAAUGUUGUGAAACUGUGGUUAGAUCCAUAUAAUUGACGUAAACCCUUAC
rnacentral:rRNA from 1 species